UUUUAUCCGCUGGAUCUGCAGGAACGACGACGAUGAUGCCGGCGCAUCCGGGCUCUUCGUCGACCUUCCCGUGCUGGAGGCCGACACUGCCGGCUUCUCCUACCGCUGCCUGGAAUCUCUGUUGCUGCUCAAGGUGUUGCAUCUCCUCCACGGUCUCCCUCCUCGGCUGCUGCGCCUCCUCCGCGGCUGGGCGCCAGGGCAGUUGGGAAUCAAACGAAGAGGUCAAGGGGAGCCACAACGGUGAGACGCGACGCUAAGGAGUAAGACGGCCGGAUCUGGAGCUUGAGGCCCUCCACCGCGCUUGUGUUCGUCAGAUUGCAAGUAAGCCCUGGAGUUGUACAGAGGAGAGGAAGAGGCAGUCACUGAGGGCGUGCUACGUCUACGGGCUCAUCUUCUUCGCCAUCAACCCGCACAGACAGCGCUGCUGUCGGAGUCGUCGGUGGAUGAGACGCCCACGCCACCAGCGUCUGCAGAGUCUUCGAACAUGUGCUCCCAAUAUUGCAGCCACGUCCUUCUUAUCAGUUCUCUUGAACUUGUCUCCUCUACUCUUAUGGAGGGUUUCCAAGGACAUGUGGAGUGAAAUUGAGGUCUGGGACUACCAUGAUUUAUACUGAGCCAAUGAUCUACCGUUGUCGCCGUUGAGGAUCUGCUGCUGUUGCUUCUGUUGAGGGCCAAUGAUCUGCUACUGUUGAUGUUGAGGAUCUGCUGCUGUUGCUUCUGUUGAGGGCCAAUGAUUUGCUACUGUGGAUGUUGAGGAUCUGCUGCUGUUGCUUCUAUUGAGGGCCAAUGAUCUGCUGUUGUUUCUUCUGUUGAGGAUCUGCUGCCGAAGGCAAGGAGCUACAGUUGAGGAUCUGCUAGGCAAGGAGCACCGAGCCUGGAGGUGGUCACGCAUGAGAGGAGCUCCUGAUCUUCUCCCCUGGCCCCCGGUGAGCUGGACCUUGCUGGCGACACGGGGAAGAAGGGAGGUGGUUCUGGGCGAGCUUUACCUUGCCGGCGAAGUGCUGCUGGGGCCGGCGGCCGGCGAGGUGCCCUCCUGGGGCCGGCGGCAAGGUUCCUGGAUGAGCAGGAAGCUGGGCAGGGAGGAGGAGAUCCUGGGCGGAGGAGAAUCUGGGCGAGGUGGGCAGGAAGGAGAUCCUGGCGAGGUGGGCAGGGAGAAGCUGGGCGGCGAGCCGGCAACGCGCUGGGAGGCGAUGCACUUGGCGAAGCGAUCCCGAUGGUUUUUGAAUUUCAAGUUGAUGGAGAUUGUUGUCCAUUAGCGUUUUUUUGGGGGCUGUCAGAAAUCUCCUUCCGCGGCCUACAAAAGUGAACGGAGGGAGUACUAUUUUGUCUGGCGGAUAGUGUCGAUGGCAUCAUCAACGUCUGUCGAAGUGGUGGUCACAUACUGCAGGUAUGCUAGCUCCUCACAAUAAAGACAUAAUUUUAAGUUUGUUACAGUUUAUGGAUGAAACUGGGAAUCACGUUCCACAAGCACCUCAUAGUUAUGUAUAGUUUUUCUGUACAUAUGGUGUGCUGAACUCCUAUUUAAAGACGUUAUCAUUAUCCAUCUGAUCCUUCUAUUUGUUAGUUGGUUUCCUAAAUAAAUCAGUUCAGACGAUUAAUUGAUU